AUCUCAAUUGUUUCUUUUUGCCUUUGUUAAUGUGGCUACUAGGAAAUUAGAAAUUAUAUAGGUGUCUCUUGCUAUAUUCUCUUGGACACCCUGGCCUUAGGGUCUCUAACUCUCCCAAUAAGCUGGGUGUGAGGUCAGUUGUAGAUUCUGGCCUCAUGCAUUCACACCUACUGUGUAUUUUCAAUUCCCAUGGAAAUGUCACAGAAAAUUCUAUAUUCUAGUGGAAACAAAGAACAAGUAUUUACCUUGAUUUGUAAAUUGGCUUAAAUAUAUACACAUUAUACUUGACCUUUUUUUUUUUUCUGAUUAACACUCAGCUAAAUCGUGAGUUAAUAAUCAUGCACAGCGUAAAAUGUUUUCAAGUUAAAAACAGUAAAAGCAACAUUUCUAAAAUGGACAAGUCUGAAAAGUUUGGGUUCAGACAAUCAUGAGGGAAAAACCACUGCAGUUAAGGGAAAUAAUAUCCUCGGAUUUACAGUCUUCUCCUUUGUCUAAUAUUUCUGCUUUCUGUUGGAUAUUUUUCCAGAAUUGAUAUUCAAGCUGCGAAAAACAGCCCUCCACCAGCGGAAUCUGGCACUAGAGCAGGCUCUUCCCAUAACAGGGGUGGCAUUUUUAAAAUUCACUCUGGAUUUGUCAAGUGGUUUGCAGCUGAGAAACCAGAUGAGCCGACUUUCCACUGUAUAAAUUUUCAAAACACUCAGAGGCAAGUGUCUCCUUAAGAAUUACAGUAUUCUGUAGGCCGUGUAAUGCAGUACAUUAUCAAAAUAUGUGCUCUUUUGAAUAUUAUAGUGACCUAAAAAUUGCUAAUUAUAUAGUGGCACACUAACACAACAUAAUCACAGAUAUACAUUGUUUGACAUAUUAAUAUAUUGCAGUUAUUGGCAAACCUUGAAACUAGUUACCUAUUAUUCCUAGAAAAAUCAGAAUUUCUCCCUGAAGUGUUAGUCAAGGCUAGAGGUGCUUAAGCAGGCUUAGGAAAAUUACAGUUUUCUUCUGUGACAGUCACUGGAGUGACAUCAAUCAAUGGAAGUUUGAGAAAAUUGGGUACAGUAAGCAAGAGUGAAGGAAAAAUUAUGGCAACUGCAUUCUUCUGUUUGCAGAGAUUCUAAUCCCCCCCCUCUUAAAUGGAUUAUUCAUUCCAUUGUAAGGGGUUUGCAGUAAGAGCAUUUGUUGUUUUUAUAUGUAACACUAACCAUUUUUACAUUUAAUAGUUAUUGGAAAAAUAAAAAAUUCAGCAUUUGCAGGACAAACUUAUUCUUUGAAAGUACAAUGCUAUGAAAGAAAUUUCAUUUGAUAUUGCACUUAACUCAAAGACUGCUCUAUCUGUGUUAUUGUAAACAAAGUAUUCAGAACAAAAGGAAUGGGGAAAAUGAGAGAGGUGAGCAAGAAAGGAGACUGUCAAAUCCAGGAGGGAGGAGGAAAGAAAAUGGAUGGUGCAUCUUCCAGAAGACAUGAAAGUCAUCAACUUGAGUUUAUCUAAUAUUUAAAUGAUGUGAGUAUAAAGCCCAUCUAAACUCCUUGGAAAUUUCUCUGAUUAGAGGAACUAGCAGGUAGACUGAUGAAAUAGCUAUAGUUAAGCAAUGCUAAUUAAUUUUUAGAUCCCCUUAGGUCGAGAAUUUAAAAUUUAUCAUGUUUAUAUCAACCCCAAAACCAUCUUUUCCAGCCAUGUGUUAGCUGGCUCCCCAGCAUACAUGUGUGAUGGUUAAUACUAUGUAUCCACUUGACUGGGCUAUAUGGUGCCCAGACAUUUGGUCAAACAUUCUGGGUGUGUCUGGAGGGUGUUUCUGAAUGCAACUAACAGAUGGACUCCACCCAAUCAAUUGAAGACCUGAAUGGAACAAAAAGGCUGAAUGAGAGAGAUUCCCCCUUUCUACUGCUUGAGUUGGCACCUGGGUCAUUUCCUGCCUUCCAACUCAAGCUGAAACACUGGCUCUUCUUGAGUCUCAAGCCUGUGGACUUUCAGACCAGAACUUGCACAACCAGCUCUCUCGGUUCUCAGGGCUCAGGGCUUGGAUGAGGACUCUGCCAUUGUCUCUCCUGGGUCUCCAGCUUGUCACGUGCAGAUCUUGGGACUUCUCAGCCUCCAUAAUCACGUGAGCCAAUUCUUUGUAAUAAAUCUCUAUUUACGUACACACUGUAUUUUUACAUGUGUGUAACACCUGUGAUGGAUGCCUUCCUUUGGUCUCAUCAUGUGUAGCCCUUACUCUGCUCAGAGUAGAAGAAAUUUGGGGAAAAGAUCUUUUCAUUUCUCUGGCUAUAUCUUUUCUCAUAGGUAGACGUGCUUUGGUGCCUAUAGGCAGGAAGUACUUGCUGCCUCUGCCCAUCGUUGCCUGGGUGAGUGGGGCUGUACCACUCCUAGCUGUUCUACCACAUGGCACCUGUCCUGCAGCACAUACAUACAGCAAGCCAUGAACAUAGAAAUCUUGAGGACUGAGCAAAGGAAGACAGAUCAAGUAUAAGGCUUUGGAACUUGGACAGAAGAAGAUUAGUUCUGGCUUGAGGGAGGAUUUAUACCUGCUGAGGUGUAUCCUUUCCAGAAUCUUCUGACUCUACAUUCACUCUUUCACUGUUUAAUGAUGCUCUUGUCCUCUUCAAUGGUUGGGUUAAAAAUUAGGACCAGACGUCUCCCAGGCUCACAGGCGCCUGGAGGGCAACUUAGAUCCUGAGCUACACAAUAUAUACAAGAACCUAAAAAAAUAAUAAUAAUGAUCAAGGUGCUGAUUUGGGAUCUAAAAGAUUAGGUCCUUGUUGUCUGCACAUAUUAAUUGAGAAAUAGCCGUCUUCAACAUUAAUGUCUAUAAAUGUUAGACUUAAGGUUUGAAACAUUAGGGAGUUGAUUUUCUUAACACUGAUAAAAGCCACAGGCUCAAGGAUGAAACCGAGCAAGGCCUGAGCUCCACAGCAGCAUGCCCAGCACAGAGAAGCCCCAGGAGUAGCAGGGCGUGAACCCUCCCUUCGUCCAGCACCUCCACGCUGUGGACAUCGCCACCCAUCUGUCACUGGCAGGGUCUGCUCCUGACACCGGCUCUCAACGUCGUCAUGGGUCCUGGAUCCAGGAUCACCUGCUUCCCAUCAUCAGAAGGGACCUUCCAGGAUGAAGGGGCCUGUGCCCGAGGUUGGAUGUCCGCCACCGUGGGGCCGGGCGGUCACAGAAGCUGCAUUGUGCUGGGCGGCGCCUGUCACUGUCAGAGCCGAGCGAUCCUCUGCUCCAGCGCUGGGACAGAUUGUCCUCGCUGCUGUUUGCUAACUAGUUGUUUUUCUGAUUCUAAACUUGGCUUUGCAGUCUGAGUUAUUUCCUAUUGAACCUCACAUGCAACAUGGCAUCUGGCCCUGUCGCCUGUGGUUUCUCUGGCGCUGCAAGUUGAAAUAUACCUUGGUCCAUGCCAGUGAGCUGGACCCUCCCAGCUCCAUCUUUGGGGAAACGAGAGAGGUGCUUCUGGUGUUGGCUCAGAGCCAGACCUAAGCCCACUCCCCACUUGGGACCACGAACCUAGAAGCAGUAGUGUCUCUCCUCCCAUGGUUUCCGCCUCCACUUUCUCCUUUCUGUGUCCUCCCUCUCUGCCCAGUUCGGAGCUUUUCCGUCAUACACUCUUCUCCUUUAUUCCUUGGGUCACCACCUUGACAGCUUCCCUGGGCACUUUGCACUUUUUCAUUGGGAAGUCUUUAUUCUGAAAUAGGUAGCACUGACUCAAACCUCCACCCUGAUUUUCAGAUCUCUAUACUCAACACCCACUUGCAGAGUUUACCAUUCGUCACUGUUUCAUUGAACGCGAAGAUGCGUUGGCCAAAAUGGAAAGGCUGACAAUUCUACAGGCAGCUGGAAGGAGUGAUGCUUCCAGGGACAGAGAACGUUGCAGUGACCUCGAAUUCCCGUCACACAGGAUCUCACUUGACUGUAUCACCAAGCUUAACUAUGCUUCCCCUAAAGAGGGGACAGGUUGCAAUAAUUGUCCUCCGGUGUGAUGACAUCUUUCUGAAAUGGCAAGUGACAUUCUUGUCACACCCAGCAAUAUGGCCAGGAUAUUAGUAUGUAUGAUGUAUCCACCAGUAUAUUCUCUCUUCGCAGGCUUAGAAAGAUACGGGAGAAGUCUUAUAACUCUAGGAAAAAAAUUCUCAUUGAUAAUAUCUAUGGGGAAAUUGCCCUCUGAAAAUCUAAUGGUAGAAAUACAUGUUCAGGCACUAACAUACAAGUACCUUUGCUAUUUAAUGUUGUUUUGUGAAUUUACCCUCAAAGUCAGGCGCUACUUACAAUGAAACGAAUAACUGUGAUCUAAUUACUAAUUAUAAAAUGUCUAUUUGCUUUACGAAAGAAACAUGGUCUCUGGAAGUCCUUGGUUUUGCAUUUAAUUUAAUUAGUGAAUUUAAUACAUGUCUCCUAGAUUGUUCAUUUUACACUCUUGCUAAAGGAAGGUGGCCAGCUUGUCAGAAGGAAUUAUUUUCAAAUUGGCUAAUUAAUUGCUUCAAUCCUUAUGUAAUGACAUUCACAUGGAAAUAGGAAAGGGCAUUCGAAGGACAGACAAGAAAUAUCUGCACAGGCAUCAUUCUUGUCAUCAGCUCUAAAGGAAUGUUAUUUGUGGACACUUAGUAAAAGAACUGCUUGACUACUAGGGCUGAUUGGCUUCAGGGGGAAAAAUAUACAUUAUAUAUGGAAAUUUUGAUUACUACUUAUCUAACUAGAGAGUAAAGAACAUAUGGUAUCAAAACUAACUUUUAAGCAUUUAAUAUAAAGUGAACAUUCACUGAUAUGAACAGUGCCCACACGUAACAGUUGGGGGAAAGACAGAAUCGAAUUAAAGAUAAUAUCUCUGCAAGGUUAUUUAUAUAUUAACCAGACAAAAUGGCAGGAGCCUGAGGGAUAUGAAUCUUGAGAGGUUAGAAGGAUUCAAAAAGGUCCUAAUGUAUCAUAUUACUGCAUACAGGGUGUUACCCCUUGCUUUGAACUAUAUCUAAACCAGCUUGCUUUGAACUAUAUCUAAACCUGCCUUCUAGGUACUAGAUCUAGAAGGUCGUGCCAUUGUUCUAAAAACCUCACCAGUGAUGCCACCAUAUUGCAUGACUCUUGUCCAUAAAAUCUCCAUCCAAAUUCCCUUCAAUUCCCAGUCAAGUAGCUAAAACACCCACAUUAAAAUAAAUCAAAGUUAUUUCUGAUAGACAUCCUAACCUACUCAUGGUCUGAAACCCCACUGCAACCCUGAGCGGCUGGGAGGGCUGCCUGCGGAAGGCUCACUUCUUGGUCCCGCCCCAGGAAUUGCACAUGUCUGGAGGAGCUUUCUGCUCCUAAGACAUAAUCUUUCUCCAAAGACAGCCCAGAUUCAUGACUGGCCAAUCCAGGAGUAUAAAUAAGUACCUAGCUUCCUUCACAACCCUUUUAUUUCCACUCCCCACACCUCAGUUUAGAACAUUCUAGAAGGGCCAUCCCAAUCUCAGAGCUGCAUGUAUGUAGGUUUGGCUGAGGCCUCUGUUGCAACUGCACCGCAGUUCAGCUUCUCCCUCAGCCCAAUCCUAUGUCCCUCAUGCCCUUAUAAAUGCCGUGCAUUGAGUGCAUUUUCUAGCAAAUUCCUGCAUGCAAAUCUCCACCUCUUUCUUGGGAAGCCCGACCUAUGUCAACUUGUGACUUCUGAAUCACUACAGGGUACAAAGAGCAAAGUAUAGUCCCUAUAACUAAAGCAAAAUAAAAUAAACAACAAAUUAUUUUAAGAGCAUGAAGAGUAAUUUUUUUAACUGAAAGCAUGAAAAGACAUGACAUGUAUGUUCGUGUUAAAAUCUUCUCUACUAGAAGACAAAGACUCUCCAAUAGAUCAAAAAACAAAAUCCAACUUUGUGUUAUUUUGUCAGUGUUAUUUAUUUCAUAGAUGUCAGCUGAGGUCAUCUUGACCUUUUAAAAUUAAAAUGAAAUUGGCUCAGGCCUUUAGUUCUAUUUCCUUAGGGAAGCACAGUGCCCUUCUCUGGUAUUUCUGCAAAUUCCUGGUCACUUACAUUUUGCUGUCACUUCUGGUCACCCCUGGAUACUUGCUCUCACUCCUGACUCCUCCCUGACUCAAGCUCUUUUCUUAAUUCUCCCACAAACUCCCCACACAAAGCACAGGAGUGCAGUUUACUAUGUGGGCUUGAAGUGGGGGAGAUUGUUUUAAAUUGUAGCAAUUCCAACGCCUUAAAAUUGGAUUUGACAUUCAUUUUCUUGAAAUUCUUUGACCACUAAAAGCAGCUCAUCAUGGUCGUUUCCUGAAUAAAGACAAUUUCCUCUCUAAACAGAACUCUAAGACCAGCUAAUAAAAUAUUUUUCAUCCUAUUUGUUAUUAGAAAAAAUUUGGAAGCUACUGAAGAGUCCAAGUAUGGGAGAGAGUUACUUAAAUUAUAGUAGUUCCAUAUGGUGGGAAAAUAGAGAACCAAUUUAAAAUUUCACUUUCAAAGAAUAUUUCAUGACUUGGUAUUAUAAGUGAAAAUAGUAAAAAUUAUAAUAGUAUAUACAUAAUUGUGUAAUAUUUUGUGAUCCAAAAUAUAUGUAAUGUCAUGUAUGUUAAUUUAUAAUUUGAAAGAAAACACACUAAAUUAUUAUCUGUGGUUUCUAGAUAAUAAGGUCAAUGAUGACAUCUUUUUUAUAUACUUUUCUGAAUUUUUUUAAUUAAAAAAUGAACACACAGUUCUUUUAUAAUCAGGACAAAUAAGCAAUGCUAUUUUGAAAUAUUGGCAGUUUAUUGUGGGGAUUAGAAAUAACUCAUUAUUUUUGCAGGGGGAGGAAAUAAAGGACUGACUCCUAUUAUUCUAUCUUCAAGUCGGUUGAUUUUUUUUAUCAUGAUGGGAAAUCAGGGCCUUGCUGAGUAUUUGUUGACAGAAAGAGAGAGUUAUUUACACUUGGAAAGUAAUAAAAAGUAGUUGAUUGAUCCUCUGCUUAAAAAUUCACAGAUGGUAAGAUUUUGUAUUAAAUAUAAUUAUUUUGCAUUUGUCACAUAAUUGUAUUAAAUACAAAGAAUAUUUCUAUGGUCAGAUAUAAAAUUUGCUAUCAAAUAUUAAGAAGACAUAGAAGUAAUGUGUUCUUUUUUAAACUAAAGAACCAUGAAUGUUGUUUUACUAAGAGAAUGUGAUACCUAAGUGACAGAAAUAGGUGUAUGAAUGGGCUGCAGUGGUCUCCUCUGUGACGUAGCAAUAUUAAACACAUCAUUGAUAACUAUCCAUAGAACACCAAGAAAGUACAUUGUUCUCCCUCUACUUACAGAAGAACUACCCCUGCACUUCACCCCUCCCCCGCUAAAUGGAUUCCCUGUGACAUAAUCAUGUGACUGUCCCAAGAACAUGAAAGGUGCCGAUGACAUCCGAUGACAAUAGCACUGGUUUCUAAUGAUCAGCUAACAGACCUCUUACUGAGAUGUCUCAUAAAGUCUGAGGAAAAGAAAAAAAGAAUUUUUACCCAAUGUCUUCAGAAUCUCCUUUUAUCCACUCAUCAAAAUCUGUUAGGAAGGAAAUUCCUACAAGAGGAGUUCUUCUUUUUUUUUUUAAUUAAUUUUUAAUUUUAGCGUAUUAUGGGGCUACAAGUGUU